AGUGAACGCUGGCGGUAGGCCUAACACAUGCCAGUCGAACGGCAGCACAGUAAGAGCUUGCUCUUACGGGUGGCGAGUGGCGGACGGGUGAGGAAUACAUCGGAAUCUACUUUUUCGUGGGGGAUAACGUAGGGAAACUUACGCUAAUACCGCAUACGACCUACGGGUGAAAGCAGGGGAUCUUCGGACCUUGCGCGAAUGGAUGAGCCGAUGUCGGAUUAGCUAGUUAGCGGGGUAAAGGCCCAGCAAGGCAACGAUCCGUAACUGGGCUGAGAGGAUGAUCAGCGACACUGGAACAAAGACACCGUCCAGAAUCCUACAGGAGGCAGCAGUGCGGAAUAUUGGACAAUGCGCGCAAGCCUGGUGCAACCAUACCGCGUGGGUGAAGAAGGCCUUCGGGUUUUAAAGCCCUUUUGUUGGGAAAGAAAAUCAGCAGGUUAAUAACCCGCUGUACUGACGGUACCCAAAGAAUAAGCACCGGCUAACUUCGUG
rnacentral:rRNA from 1 species